UACGUAGGUGGCGAGCGUUGUCCGGAUUUACUGGGCGUAAAGGGUGCGUAGGCGGCGCGGUAAGUCGGGUGUGAAAUCUUGGAGCUUAACUCCGAAACUGCAUUCGAUACUGCCGUGCUUGAGGACUGGAGAGGAGACUGGAAUUUACGGUGUAGCAGUGAAAUGCGUAGAGAUCAUGAGGAAGACCAGUGGCGAAGGCGGGUCUCUGGACAGUUCCUGACACUGAGGCACGAAGGCCAGGGGAGCAAACGGG
rnacentral:rRNA from 1 species